UGUGUGGCAGAGGUCAGGGCCGGGAGGUCGGAUGUGGAAGAGUAGGGUAAAGAAAAAACACAUCUUAGAAAUCUAGGGUUUGGCUUAAGCUUCAUUAGAGAGCAUAGUUGGCCCAGGCCGGGCACAUAACUCUCCCUGCUCCCCUUUGUGUUUACUUCUCAUUGUCUCUUCCAGGGAAAAGUAAGAACUUGUUUUAAAAAGGCUUUGGCUUAAAAACAAAACUGUUCUUCAGAGUUCGUCUCACCUGAAAUUGACCCCACAUAUCCAGAGCACUCCCUGAAGGUUCCUGUUCAUGCAGUCUCUGUUGUACUCUGCACUGACAACCAAAAUGGAGGACCCUAAAAAUGGAACCUGCAGCCUGCACACUCCCUGGCCCUUCUGAGCGACACUCCUCAGACAGCACCUACCCAUUGGUUCCUGCAAAAGGAGGCUCCCAAAUCACGUGCAGAACCUGGCAUCUGGGAUCACAAUGACAGAGGAGGCUCGUAGGGUGCAAGGGUCAGAGAGAUGGCUGGUUGUGCAGAGUACACGGGGCCAAGAGGUGCACAUGGCAGCCAAAUCCAACUCUGCCCGAAGCUUCCUUGAGUACUUCACAUACACGGCCUUUGCCUUCCCAACAGAGUCCUUCCUACUAUCAUGUUACACACAGAGGAUCCGCCCAGAGAUGACCUCCAUGACAGUAUGGGCCCUUCAGCCUCCAUCUUGUGAAACAGUAUCUCCCUUCUACAUAAACUGCCUUAUCUGCUUUUCUUAAGGACUUCAUUUGGUCACUGAACUCUUAGUCUGGGAAACAUGCUGUGUAAAGUGGAGAAGCACCCAUGGCUGUGGGUGACUGAGAGUAAGCCAGAGUUUCAGGUAUCCAGACAGCAGGAAGAAUCAGACAGCAGGAAGAUGACUUUCUAUCGAACCGACACACACGGUGACCAGGAUGGCAGCAGCCCUUCCAGGUUGCCAAGACCUGAAGGAGAGCUUACAGCAAUCAAGGGUCUUCUGGUCCUCAGCAAAUGGACUUUUAAAACUGUCCUAAUCAUGGGCCAAGGAUUUAGACCAGUGGUUCCGACGCAUGCAAGGACCCAAGUUCAAUCCCUGGCAAUAGAAGAAUGUGAGAACACAAGCCAAACCAGCAGUGUUGGUUAUAGGAAACUCCAUAGAACAUUCUAGUCACUCAACAAUAGCAGCAGCAGCAACAACAAGAACAAACGACAGAGGUGGAGUGGUAAAUGUGAAAGGAAAACCCACAGAAGUGCUGUAGGGGUGGACACACCAACUGGUCACACUGCCUGGAACCCUGUGUGGUUCCUGAUUCAAAAAGCAAAUGGCUAAAAAAAAAAAAUUGGGAAAUGGAAACACUGAUGAAACUUUAAGGACUUGCUAACAAACGAUACUGUGGCUGUUUUAAAAAUUUCUAAAUUUUGAAAGUACGUACUGCAACAUAUACAGAAGAAAUUAAAUGACGUAUGAGAUAUGCUCCAAGAUUCUCACCUCUUGGAGGUGGGGGAUGCGGUGGGAAUGCAGAGGAAACCAACCUGCCCAGGACUGGUGACUGCUGGGUCGAAGCUACAGAGGGGUCACAAAAAGUUGUCACCACUAGAAAACAAUGGCGGCAAUACACCAGAGCAGCUGUACGAGAGGCACGGUGCCCUCCAUCAGAAAUAAGGCUGGAGACAUGCAGUUCCAGGUGAUAAUGGCUGGGGAGAAGGCCGCCUAGGUCUAGGUCCACUGAAGCUUUUAUUUCCCCCUUGAAUGCAAAUUAAAUUUGACCUUUUGCUAAAAUACGAGUUAACCAGCGGUUGAACCGAAUGUUCAAGCGAUGUGAUCACCACAGCAAGCCCAAUUUCAAGUGUGCCCAGCCAGGAACGGGGGAGGGGACGGAUGUGAGCCCUCUUCUGGCCCCUGUAGUCAAUUAACAUAGUCUUCCAAGCAGGAGGUGCCAUUAUCUUUAACUCAGUAGACACAACUGUAUAUAAUUAGAGGUCAUAAUUAUGAUUCUCUUUAAAAUGUGACCAUCAUAUCCAAAUCGAUGUCUUGUGGCGACCUGGCCUACACGCUGGGAAACACAAAACAGGCGGGAACAGGCUCUACCCAGUUAUGCUGACAAGCGACAGCAGCCUCGAUCCCCUCAAAACUUCGAAUGUCAGGCAUCCACCCUUAGUCCCCGCG
rnacentral:lncRNA from 1 species